rnacentral:rRNA from 1 species
GAGGAAAGUGGGGGGCGUGCCUAAUACAUGCAAGUCGAGCGAACAGACGAGGAGCUUGCUCCUCUGACGUUAGCGGCGGACGGGUGAGUAACACGUGGAUAACCUACCUAUAAGACUGGGAUAACUUCGGGAAACCGGAGCUAAUACCGGAUAACAUGUUGAACCGCAUGGUUCAACAGUGAAAGACGGUCUUGCUGUCACUUAUAGAUGGAUCCGCGCCGCAUUAGCUAGUUGGUAAGGUAACGGCUUACCAAGGCAACGAUGCGUAGCCGACCUGAGAGGGUGAUCGGCCACACUGGAACUGAGACACGGUCCAGACUCCUACGGGAGGCAGCAGUAGGGAAUCUUCCGCAAUGGGCGAAAGCCUGACGGAGCAACGCCGCGUGAGUGAAGAAGGUCUUCGGAUCGUAAAACUCUGUUAUUAGGGAAGAACAAAUGUGUAAGUAACUAUGCACGUCUUGACGGUACCUAAUCAGAAAGCCACGGCUAACUACGUG